rnacentral:tRNA from 1 species
GAGAAUAUAGCUCAGUGGUAGAGUGUGUGCUUAGCAUGCAUGAGGUCCUGGGUUCAAUCCCCAGUUCUUCCA